GCAAAAGCAAAGUAGAACACCUGCAAAGCAAAUCACGUAGAAUUCCCACUUGCAAGUCAUUUUCAAAGAAAGUAACAAUAAACUUCAAGUAUGGAGGAAUAAGGUUGCAGAGAAGAAAGACAACAACCAACCCGUCUCCAUUAUUUGUGUUGCCUCAGUUCACUUGCCACUGAAACUCUACAAAGGAGCAACCCGACCGCCGCCGUCAUUGUCUUGAAGUCAAGGAAAAAUUGUCUUGGAAGGGAAGGAUGUACUGCCGACAUAGAACACCAAAACAAAUUGUGCGGGCUGCUGUUUAAGUUAUUAGGAAAAGAAGACGAUGUAGA
rnacentral:lncRNA from 1 species